rnacentral:rRNA from 1 species
CCUACGGGAGACAGCAGUGAGGAAUCUUGGUCAAUGGCCGAGAGGCUGAACCAGCCAAGUCGCGUGAGGGAAGACGGCCCUACGGGUUGUAAACCCCUUUUGUCGGGGAGCAAAGCGAACUACGUGUGGUUCAUUGAGAGUACCCGAAGAAAAAGCAUCGGCUAACUCCGUGCCAGCAGCCGCGGUAAUACGGAGGAUGCGAGCGUUAUCCGGAGCUAUUGGGAUUAAAGGGUGCGCAGGCGGAGGUGCAAGUCAGCGGUCAUAUUGCGGGGCUCAACCCCGUACUGCCGUUGAAACUGCAUCCCUUGAGUGCGCGAGAAGUAUGCGGAAUGCGUAGUGUAGCGGUGAAAUGCAUAGAUAUCACACAGAACUCCGAUUGCGAAGGCAGCAUACCGGCGCGCAACUGACGCUCAUGCACGAAAGCGUGGGUAUCGAACAGGAUUAGAUACCCGUGUAGUC